rnacentral:rRNA from 1 species
CCCUUAGAUGUUCUGGGCCGCACGCGCGCUACACUGACUACUUCAACGAGUUGUUUCCUUGAUCGAAAGGUCUGGGUAAUCUUUGAAAGGUAGUCGUGAUGGGGAUAGAUCCUUGCAAUUUUUGAUCUUCAACGAGGAAUUCCUAGUAAACGCAAGUCAUCAGCUUGCAUUGAUUACGUCCCUGCCCUUUGCACACACCGCCCGUCGCACCUACCGAUUGAAUGGUCCGGUGAAUCUUUAGGACUGUGGCUGAGGCCUUGCCUUGUGCGGGUCUGGCCGUGGGAAUUUAGUUAAACCUUACCAUUUAGAGGAAGGUGAAGUCGUAACA